rnacentral:rRNA from 1 species
CCUACGGGUGGCAGCAGUGGGGAAUAUUGCACAAUGGGCGCAAGCCUGAUGCAGCCAUGCCGCGUGUGUGAAGAAGGCCUUCGGGUUGUAAAGCACUUUCAGCGGGGAGGAAGGCGGUGAGGUUAAUAACCUCAUCGAUUGACGUUACCCGCAGAAGAAGCACCGGCUAACUCCGAGCCAGCAGCCGCGGUAAUACGGAGGGUGCAAGCGUUAAUCGGAAUUACUGGGCGUAAAGCGAACGCAGGCGGUCUGUCAAGUUGGAUGUGAAAUCCCCGGGCUCAACCUGGGAACUGCAUUCGAAACUGGCAGGCUAGAGUCUUGUAGAGGGGGGUAGAAUUCCAGGUGUAGCGGUGAAAUGCGUAGAGAUCUGGAGGAAUACGGGUGGCGAAGGCGGCCCCCUGGACAAAGACUGACGCUCAGGUGCGAAAGCGUGGGGAGCAAACAGGAUUAGAUACCCUUGUAGUC